UCUGGGGUAACCGAUUUAUUGCUGCAUUUGUAUUUUUGAUAACCUUCCGCAAGCCUGGGAAUGUCAUCCCGCUAUUUGUUGUGAAUAUCUUCUUCAAGCUAGAGAAUACCGCCUGAAGACUGCUACGCCUAUAACUGCCUCCAAUUCUGCCAUGAUAGACUUCUGCAAGCUAGAGAACCCAUCCUAGAUUCCUUCGCUUGAAACCACCUUCUAGCGCUUUGUGACCAUCCUCCGCAAGCCAUAAUAGACUGAUUGAGUGCUCAUUAGAGUCGUCAAGUAGUUCGUAUUGGGCCGAAUCACCGCAUCUUUUUCCUCAUUACCGCCGCUUUAAUGUUCACCAGUCUCAGUCUAUUACUUUUAUUCUAAAUUUUCAAGAUCCAUAAAGCAAAAGCUUAAAAUCUUCGAGAUGUAUUUACUCAAGAAUCAAUCGUCAGAACUAACUAUAAAGAUCAAUCAGAUUGAAGAAAAUAAGUAGAGUUGUUUAAAGACUAAUGCAUUGUUGUAUUUGUUCUCUUAGCUUAGAAUAUUUGUACAAUAAUCUAUAAUUAAAAGUUACUUUUUUGGGUAUAAGAUCUAAGAUGCUCAUCAAAUGUUGUAAUUUGAAUUUUACAUUUAUGAUAAAAAUUUCAGUUUUCUACAGUUCUAUCUA